CGGGUUCGGAUUAAACCUGUUUGGGAUACCCGUUUAAGUGAGGAAAUGUUUUUAAUUAUAAAUUUCCUUUUUCUUUUUCCUCCCCACACGCUGAACCCAACCCGAUCCCUCACUUCUUCCCCGACUUCUCCUCCUCCUCCCCGGAUCUCCCCUCUGCUCGAAGCCGAUCUCGCUUCCUUCUCUGUUCUCUCUCACGGACGAUCGGCGCCGACGGGAGCAAGGCUUCAGCUCCGGCGAUCACCCUCUGCUGACAUCUCUUUCCCCGACCCUUUCCUCUCUCUGUUCCUCGCAAACAACUCGACGCCGACGGGGCUUGCAAUCGUCUUCACCGCCUGAGGAGGAGGUCGCCGGAACCUUGCUAGAGGUCGAACAAGGAGGCGGAUCCUCCUGAUCUCAUGUUCUCAGGUCUUCCCCGAGCCUUUCCUUCCCCGAUCCUUCUGGGUUUUGCCGAUCCUUUCUUCCCCGAUUCGAUCGCUGGCUUGAAGAUGACCUAGGGUUUCGAAGGUCACGGAUUUGGAGAGGUUGGAAUCAGGGAGGUGUUGUUGGAUUAGGGGAAGGAAUCGGAUCAGACUCGUGCUAGGUUUUCCCUUGAUCGGAUCAGUGGACCUCCACCUCCUUGCUGUUGAUUGAGGUCUCGAAUUGAAGUGAGGGGAGGUGAGGUUCCAUUCUUGCUGUGGAAUUGUGUUUGGUUCCGGCAGUAACAAUCACCUCAAUCCAGCAUCAACAGUAGGUUCGAUCUGCUCUGUUCUAUUUGUGAACUUUCUGAUUUCGGCAGUAAACCAUCCAGCAACAACAACAACUGGAUUUGAGGACUCUGAUUCGAGACGGGCGUCUCGACUUCGGAUUAGGAUUGGAUUGUACCUUCUCUUUGAGGCGGGUACCCUUUGACUUAUCUUUUGAUACUGUCUUAUGAUAUGUAUAGUUUAUAUAUAGUUGCUAGUGAUAGGUGGUAGAUU